rnacentral:rRNA from 1 species
AACGAACGCUGGCGGCAUGCCUAACACAUGCAAGUCGAACGAGACCUUCGGGUCUAGUGGCGCACGGGUGCGUAACGCGUGGGAACCUGCCCUUAGGUUCGGAAUAACUCCCCGAAAGGGGUGCUAAUACCGGAUAAUGUCUUCGGACCAAAGAUUUAUCGCCUUUGGAUGGGCCCGCGUUGGAUUAGCUAGUUGGUAGGGUAAAAGCCUACCAAGGCGACGAUCCAUAGCUGGUCUGAGAGGAUGAUCAGCCACACUGGGACUGAGACACGGCCCAGACUCCUACGGGAGGCAGCAGUGGGGAAUAUUGGAAAAUGGGCGAAAGCCUGAUCCAGCAAGGCCGCGUGAGUGAUGAAGGCCUUAGGGUUGUAAAGCUCUUUUACCCGGGAUGAUAAUGACAGUACCGGGAGAAUAAGCGCCGGCUAACUCCGUG